CACAGCGCCGGCGAUCCACUCCUCCUCCCGGGAUCGCUUGCAUCGGAUCGGCGGCACUCCUCCUCCCAGUCGCCGGUCACAGUUUGAGAAGCCUGCCGCACCUCCUCCCGCGGCAGGCUUUUCUG
rnacentral:sRNA from 1 species